CACGUAGGGGGCGAGCGUUGUCCGGAUUUAUUGGGCGUAAAGAGCUCGUAGGUGGUUCGGUAAGUCGGGUGUUAAACCCCCAGGCUCAACCUGGGGACGCCACUCGAUACUGCUGUGACUAGAGUCCGGUAGGGGAGCGUGGAAUUCCUGGUGUAGCGGUGAAAUGCGCAGAUAUCAGGAGGAACACCAGCGGCGAAGGCGGCGCUCUGGGCCGGUACUGACACUGAGGAGCGAAAGCGUGGGUAGCAAACAGG
rnacentral:rRNA from 1 species